CCAAUGAAUAUGGAAGCCAUGUUUCUCUACAAUGUUUAUGAGAGUGUAACUGAAAAUUAAAAUCAGUUAACAAUAAAUAGAUCAGAGGUAAAUCUGAUUUAGAAUUACUUUAUUUGAAUAGUGUCAAACUCAGACUUCCAACCAAAACUAAUCUAAUAGUAUUUUUUUUGUCCCUUUAGGGCUUUUUUAUUCAGUUUCCUGAUGUUUUCCAAUAAAAACCAUACUAUUUGGCAUGUUUGUAGCUUUACCAAAACACAGCUUUUCAUGUAAUGGGGUCGUUUAGGGUUUUGACGCUGUUAUAUGGUUAAGGCCUUAUUAAGGGAUUAUUUUCAUCCCAGAUGAAAAGUUAUUUCCUAACUCCAAAGUUUUAAACAUUUUUAUUGAGGUAUACGCUAAUAUCCAUAUUAUUGAGGGUCUGAAAUGGAUUUGCUCUUAAUUAAGGGGUUUCUCCAUUAAAUUAUAUUUGCUUGUUUUAAUUUUAUGAUUAGACCAUGCUUUAAAAAAUUAAGUGCGAAUAUUUUUUAGUUGAUUUAUACUGUUUUUCUUUCUCAAUAUAUUGUUUUGAACUUUUAAAUAAAUUAGAAUAUCUGAAGGUUCAUUCCACGUGAGAUCCAAGUCACAAUGUUUAGAUGACCUAAUGACGCAUUGAUAUCAAUAAAAAAAUAUUUAACCAGCCCACAGUUUUGGAGCAAUACAAUCUAGCGGAACUGUAUUCAUCAUUUGACCCUACUAUUGUUUUAAAAGUAUUCAUUAUAUCCAACCAUAUCCUAGUACGCUAGUACAUAUAUAAUAUGAUGGAAAUUUUUUUUUUUUUUUUUUUACUCGAAAGAGAGAUAUCAUUUCCAAAAGAACCCAAAAGGAAAAGUUUACAUCAUUUUCUACAGCAUAAUCGAAAACACAAAAUAGGGUGAAACUCAUGUGAAGCAGAAAUUUAUGGCAGUGUCUUUGUUAGUCUUGAUAGUCUUUCACGCUUGAUAGUCUUUCACGCUUGAAACUGAUUGAACCAUGUGGAGAUAAAAGAUUCCUGAGUACGAGAUCGAACUUGAUAAGAUAGGAAGAUUUCCUUAUCCAUUCCCAACAGCUUCGCCCUGAUUUGAACCUGAAUCUCUUUUACAAUUUGGGUGGCCGGUUUGUUCACACCCGAGUGUAAACGUGAGUUCCUCUCUCUCCAAAUGAAAUAAAUCGCCCCCUGAAAAACCAACUUCAAGAUAGCUCUAACCCGAGGUCUUACUGUGACAUUUAACAACCAGUGAACAAUUUGUUGUAAGGUAGAUGGGUAAGCCAUUCGAACCCUCGCCAGCAACAAAUUCCAGACUGCAUAGUAUUGUUCAAUAGUAUUGUUCAUCUUUUACAUAGCAUUGUUAUUCAGUAAACCGGAAGCUCCAGAUUUUAUGGAGAAAAUUAGAAAUACCAUGAGUCCAUUACGUACGGGUAAACACUAUGAUAAUAUAAGCAUCACUUUGCUGGUAAAAGUAUAUUACAAUUUGUCAAGGUCUUGCAUAGGUAGUAAUAAUAUAUAUAAAACGAUGCCCUUCCAGACAGGUUACGAAGUUUAAAAAUAAUAAUCAUUUGAUUUAGUUAUAAGCAUUCAUGUUCCCAUGUGGACACAUGUAAUUGAUCUAAAGUCACUGAUUAAGCAAGAUGGGAAAAUAAACAAGGAAUAUUCGUAGUAUACAAAUUUGUAUGGCCUAAUAAAAAUUUCACUCGAAAAGGAAAAUAAGUUUAUACUCACAUAAAUUAUUUUAGAACUUCAAAUUUCAAGAGUUGUUUUAAUGGAAAUACAAUUUUGGCUAGAAAUUGAAAUAUUUGGUUUAAUUGUAAGGUUAGUUAUCGUCAAAGGAAUAGGUUGCGGUUGUAGAUAGAUAUGGGUGAUGAUUGUUUAUGGUUCUUGUUUUCUCAUUCGCACAUCUACAAAACUAAAAUCUUUUAAAUAAAGUUUGCUUUAGAAUUACUAAUUUUGCUGUCAAGAUUCGAGAAAAGAGUUUUAUAGAACAAAUAAACGAAAACUAUAUACUAUCUCAGUACCAACUUGGAUUAAUGCAUAGUUCCGACUGGUGCAUAAAACUUACAUUUGUUUAACCAAACGCAAUAUUAUUUUGUAAAUUUCGAGGGGUUCCAGCAAAUUGGAAAAGAUAUAUAUAUCCAAUACCGUAUAUGUGAUUUCUCUUGAUCGAGUUUUGAGUCAAGACUCUUGACCUAAUAGACCAUUUAAUGACCCAAAAAGUCAUAUCUAAAGAGGGACAAAUACUAUAUUAAAUUUUUUGCUAUGAAAAUUUGUUAGUAGAAAAUACUGGAGCAUGGAAUAUAAAACCAAAUAUAACCUAUGGAAACGUGGACCGAUGUAAAUGUACCAGGUUGUCUGCCAUGAUAUGGGUAGAUAAGAAAAUAAUUGUCUGCAAAGUUCUUUUGUAUUGACAACUGUUAAAUGUUUCUUUUAAAAAAAAAAUUGCCCAGGCGGAUUCUUUAGAAAAAAAAACUAAAAUCAGAAGCAUUCUAUUUUUCAUAUAGAUAAGAACGAUUCAAUUUUGUCCGGAGAAUUAUCUCAUUGAAUCAGAACUUGUUAUAGUGAAACGGAUAGCUGAUAAAAAAUUGAGUAUUUCUAACCAUUUUGUAUAUCUUACUUACAAAGAAUACUAAAUACUUAAGAUAUUUAUUUCUAUUAUACUAUAUGUUUUACUAAAAUUAAUAUUAGUUAUAUUUUUAGGUUUUGUAAUAUUUUAGAUAUAAAAAUUUAUGUUGAACCGGGCCUGACUAUAUGUUAUCAAAGUGCUUUGGGGUUUUAUUAUACCCAAAAACUCCACAAUAAAUCGCAUGUUUAAUAUGAAACAACACAUAUAUUGUUUUUCAAAAAAAAAAACAGCACACAAAUUGAUAAUUUACUGCAUAUAGUUUUUAUCAUUGUACGAGUAAUUAAUUAUAUUAUAGCUCAGCACUUUAUCCAAACAUAUAAAUAUUUAGUAAGGCACAAGUAACAAAACGUAUAGCAGUCUAAACUUAUGAAUGAUUUAUUGUUAUAAAUUCUUACAGUGUUAUGUAAUUCUUUUAUAAAUUGAUUAAAUCAUAUUGUAUAUCAUUUUUUGCAAAGUUGUAUAUAAUGUUUUUUUUUUUUAAGUUAUUUAUAAAUUAAGCAAUUAAUAACCUUACAGUAAUAUAAAAUAUAUACAUUAACUAAUCCCAAAAUAACUUCAUUGCUAUGAUUUUUUAAAUCAUGAUCAUAAAAUAAUAGCUCAUUUUGUCACUACUAUUUUUUGCCCAGAUUUUAUUCAGUUAUUAUAUUUUGUAUUAUUAUUCUAAGAUCCGAAACUAAUCGGCAAUAGUUAAUACAAUUUUUACACAUCAGCAGAGCUUCAAAAAUAAAAAUAUACCAGCUUUAUGAGAAAGACAUUACUUUCAUGGCAAAAGAGAGAAACGAAAAUUGUGGGAUCCAUGAGAAUGAAGCACAUUUUUGUCCGUUUACGUUUUUUUGUUUUAAAACUAAUAAACUUAUUAAUGUUUUCUAACAUAUAUAAUAAAAAUGGUAAUAUACAUAGUGGUUUUGUUUCUAAUUUUAUAUAGGGUUGUGGCUUUUGAUGAUCUUCAGGUGAAAGUGUAGGAGACAGGGAAUCUCUCUUUGUUGAUGUGUAGUGUACUAUGUUUAUCAACUUGCCCUGAGCACUUUACGUAUAUACACACUCAUUUCCAAGUCAAUGGAUAUAUUAACUAGUAUAUAUUAAACAUUGUUGUUUAUCUAAUGCUUAUAAUGUUAUAUAGUUGGUCGAUGUAGUUAAUUGUGUAUACUCUUGUUUGGUUGAGAAUCGAGACGAUAAGUUAAAACCCACCAUCAUAUGGAAACAAUUUGUUUGUUACACUAUCCCAGAAAUUUUGUAACGAAGUCUUUUUUAUCAGAGAUGCAAAUCAAGACAUUCGUUGAAAUUUAUUCAUGAAUUUAUAUAUUUUAGGAAAUUAAUAUAUAGCACAGUGAUCAUCUUUUUUGGGAGAACGUGCUGAACUUAUCAGUUCAUCAUUCACCAAGACCAAUAUUUUUGCAGUGUGGGAACACUCGCUAAGUCGCAAUAUUUAAUCUCAUGGACGAACGCAUAGUAUAACGAUAAACUACAUGUAAACACCGCAUCAUAUUAAAUAUUCAAAUAAAAUUAUGACAAUACUUAUACACACAUUUUAUGUAUAUAUAUAAAAGAAAUUUCUAUUUUUCUCGAAAAAAUGGAUUAUAACUUGAUGAUACUUGGUAACUAAAGAAUUUGUAGGGCUAGAAUCCAAAUAAACUUUUAGGUUUAGAGACAAUCAACCAUACCAUCAAGAAACCAAACCAUACCAUCAAGAAACCAUAAACAUGGUUCGGUUCCUUUCGGUUUAGCUAGUUUACCUAAGCUAUUGCGUCUCUAUAAAAUACUCACUCCGAGCUUCUUCUUCACUUGCCCCUUUCACUCCUUCUCUCUAACUAGUCGUGUGCUUAUAAAUAUAGACAUAUAUGUAUGCAUGUAUAAGUACUCUUCAAUCGUAAAUAAAUAAUUUUAAAAUUCUGUUAAGCAUUUAUGAUAGAAAUGUACAAGAUUGGUUUGUUGUGUCUGAAUCUGUACGGGUCGACAGAUCGGAACAUAACUAACCAGUCAGUAUUGUAUAUUAAUUUAAUAUAUCUUCCACCUAUAUGCUUCGUUCUUCAACAAUCAUCGCAUAUUUUUUCCUGGAAUUAUGUUUCGUUUUCAAUAUAUUGGUCCCUAAAUUGAUUAUUUUUUGUAAUUUCUUAUGGUAUAAAACAAAAUAUUCCAUAUUUUUUUAUAUGACGAGAAAACAUUUACAGGUUGACACGUCAGCCCUUGGAUUCUGGAACGUAUUCUCUAUACUUCACACCUAUAUGUACUUGCUUCAUCUCAGACUGCUUUUCUCCUUGUUUCUUCUUCAGGUUUCAUCUUCUCAGAGUAGAUAGUUAUCGAGGAGAUUAACCAGAUCUUUUUCUACUUAUUUAAUUUGCGAUUAUAUUUCUGAUUGUUCAAUCAACUUUAUAUUUGUUCCAUUAAUUCGUACAAUCUAUUUCUUGUGUGUGUGUGUGUGAAUCUGAUACAAGCUCUCGGAGGAUCCGUGGGGAAAGUUCAUCAGUCGCUUUUUGUAGGUGCAGCACCAUCAAGAUUCACAUGGAAAUUGAAAAACCCCUAAUCUUAUUAAUUAGGGUUUUGAUAUGUAUAUAUGAGAAUCUUGAUGAUGCUGCAUCAACAACAGACGGCUACCAAAUACCUAAAGCUACAGAAAGAAACCACUUAUAUUAUUACAUGAAGUCUGGAUCUUGGGAUAUGAUACUCUGUAGUCCAUAUUCAAAUCAUCGGGGUCCUUAUCUGUGAUGCAAUGAUCAAGAACAACAAGAUAUUGAACACAAAUCGAAUACUUGGGCCAGUUUAACUGGUUUUACUAUCUCUUAUCGUCUCUAGACAUUUUAUAUAUUGUCUUCCACAACUCUCUUGUACUAACACUUAUUUGCCAUUGUUUCAGCUUCUAUUUCUGAGUUAUCACUUGUACUCUAUUCACUAUCAUUGUUCUAAAUUUGUAAUAUUAUAAAUAAUGUUUUUAUGCCAAAUCAAAUCAAACAUAAUGGAGUGUUGUACAUUGUACCAUAACUUUGUUUUUAAGUGGCUCAACUUGAGAAAGA